ensembl:snRNA U2 U2 spliceosomal RNA
AUCACUUCUCUACCUUUUGGUUAAGAUCAAGUGUAGUAUCUUCUCCUAUCAGUUUAAUAAACUUUAGGAGCUUUGUCAUUUUAAAACCACU